GGCACUUUGGCGGAGUGGUUAACGCGAUGCCCUGCUAUCUACUAGAUAUCCUAGGCAUUUCCCUCGGGAGCGUGUGUUCGAAUCACACAGGUGUCG